UACGGAGGGGGCAAGCGUUGUCCGGACUUACUGGGCGUAAAGGGUGCGUAGGCGGCCUGCUGCGUCGGUGCUGAAAGCGCCCGGCUUAACCGGGCGAGGCGUGCCGAUACGAGCGGGCUGGAGCCUUGGCGAGGGUGGCGGAGCUCCUGGUGUAGUGGUGAAAUGCGUAGAGAUCAGGAAGAACACCCGUGGCGCAAGCGGCCACCUGGCCAAGAGCUGACGCUGAGGCACGAGAGCGUGGGGAGCGAACCGG
rnacentral:rRNA from 1 species